UAUUUUGGAGUUUUUCAUUCAUAUCCAACACUCACAAGUCUGCAUUUCUGACUAACUGAUGGUGACUCAGAGACUGCUUAUAUGCAGAUGGCACUUUGAGUAGCAAGGCUUGAAGGCAAGCAGAUCUGCUCACCCUGAUCCUAUACUAUCCUAUACAGAGAAGGUGGUAUCCAUCCCUUUUGCCCUUCCAUCCCUUCUAUCACAUGUGGACACCUAGCACCAUCUAUGAGGAAGAGCCUUUAACGGAAACCAAACCUGCCAGCAUCUCCAUCUUGGACAUCCCAGCCUCCAGAACUCAGCAGACCUCCAGGGAAGCAAUAUGUUCUAAGGCAGAGCAAGGGGUGUCCAGCCUCCCUGCACUCAAGCCAUCGUCCCUGCCAUGAUGCCCUGGGCACUGGAGGCUGUCAGGGGAGUUACAG